rnacentral:rRNA from 1 species
UACGGAGGAUGCGAGCGUUAUCCGGAUUUAUUGGGUUUAAAGGGUGCGUAGGCGGAUCGUUAAGUCAGUGGUCAAAUUGAGGGGCUCAACCCCUUCCCGCCAUUGAAACUGGCGAUCUUGAGUGGAAGAGAAGUAUGCGGAAUGCGUGGUGUAGCGGUGAAAUGCAUAGAUAUCACGCAGAACCCCGAUUGCGAAGGCAGCAUGCCGGCUUCCGACUGACGCUGAAGCACGAAAGCGUGGGGAUCGAGCAGG